rnacentral:rRNA from 1 species
AUGGCAGCUUCAUUCCUUGGUUCGCGGCAAAAGUAUGGCAAGAAGGGUGGUCGGUUAUAUGUUGGCGACGGUGCCGCCCGUAAGAAGGACAUCCCAAAACUCUCUCACCUCCGUGCUACCACGUCGAGCUCAGGUCCUGCUAUAGAGCGUCGCCCACACCCUGGGCUGCACAUGCUCCAUCAACUUGAGGCCAAUGCCAGGCUUCGAGAGGAGGAAGCCAUGAAAAUGCAGCAGGCCCUGUUUCAACAGCAAGAAUUCAUGGUUAAACAACAGGCAAUCCUGCAGGAGACAUUUGCUCAACUCAGAAAUAAUAUGCAGGGUUCCACUUUGCCCGUUCUUCCUCCUCUUCCGACUCUUCCUAAUUUCAACUUUUUUUCUCAGUCGGGACAAGGCUUCAAUAACUGUGUGGUAGGUGGAUCUUCACCUGGCCAAGCAAGUCCGGUGACACCCACUACGGUUCAUGUCGCUUCGACCUCCCCGCAACAAUGA